rnacentral:rRNA from 1 species
GCACAAGCGGUGGAGCAUGUGGUUUAAUUCGAAGCAACGCGAAGAACCUUACCAGGUCUUGACAUCCUCUGACACUCCUAGAGAUAGGACUUUCCCCUUCGGGGGACAGAGUGACAGGUGGUGCAUGGUUGUCGUCAGCUCGUGUCGUGAGAUGCUGGGUUAAGUCCCGCAACGAGCGCAACCCUUGUCCUUAGUUGCCAGCAUUCAGUUGGGCACUCUAAGGAGACUGCCGGUGACAAACCGGAGGAAGGUGGGGAUGACGUCAAAUCAUCAUGCCCCUUAUGACCUGGGCUACACACGUGCUACAAUGGAUGGUACAAAGGGUUGCGAGACCGCGAGGUUUAGCCAAUCCCAUAAAACCAUUCUCAGUUCGGAUUGUAGGCUGCAACUCGCCUACAUGAAGCCGGAAUCGCUAGUAAUCGUGGAUCAGCAUGCCACGGUGAAUACGUUCCCGGGC